AUGAUAUUCUCCUAAGUCACCAACAUGGACUUCAGUAGCUUGCUAGGAGUGGAGAGCUUCGUGCUGAUUGCUGAAGGUGAUUUUGAGACAAAACACUUGCAUAAUGGUAUGAUACAAUUUGUCUUUGUGUCAGAGGGAACUGUUUAAAUGACUUGAGACUUCAGAAGACCUUUGAACUUGAGCUUUCCAGUAUACAGUGUUAAAAAUGGAGCCCCCCGGUUACUGCUAACAAUUACAGCUAUCAGUGUUGUACUGCAUUUUACCAAUCUGCUCUUGCUUCAGGAGACUAGCCAUAUCUUACAAAAAUGCACUGUUAUUAAAUAUUCUCACAUGGGAUGUCUAUAUGUCGGAAGACCCUUAUGUGACCUGUGGACAGACACCGUGUUUUGCGUAGUAUAUAUACUUUCAUUU